rnacentral:rRNA from 1 species
GACGAACGCUGGCGGCGUGCUUAACACAUGCAAGUCGAACGGAAAGGCCCUGCUUUUGUGGGGUGCUCGAGUGGCGAACGGGUGAGUAACACGUGAGUAACCUGCCCUUGACUUUGGGAUAACUUCAGGAAACUGGGGCUAAUACCGGAUAGGAGCUCCUGCUGCAUGGUGGGGGUUGGAAAGUUUCGGCGGUUGGGGAUGGACUCGCGGCUUAUCAGCUUGUUGGUGGGGUAGUGGCUUACCAAGGCUUUGACGGGUAGCCGGCCUGAGAGGGUGACCGGGCACAAUGGGAACGGGAGAAGGGCCAGGACCCCACGGGGGGGAAGGGGGGGGAAUAUUUCCCAAAGGGGGGGAGGCCGGGGGGGACACCGCCGGGGGGGGAAGAGGGGCCUUGGGGUGGAAACCCGUUUUCCCCUGGAGGGAGGGGUGGGGAAGGGAAAGGGGAAAAAAACCACGGGCAAACUAGGG